GAUGAACGCUAGCGAUAGGCCUAACACAUGCAAGUCGAGGGGCAUCACAUGAAGUAGCAAUACGGAUGGUGGCGACCGGCGCACGGGUGAGUAACACGUAUGCAACCUGCCUUCAACAAGGGGAUAACCCGUUGAAAAACGGACUAAUACCCUAUAAUACAGGGGUCCCGCAUGGGGAUAUUUGUUAAAGAUUGAUCGGUUGAAGAUGGGCAUGCGUUCCAUUAGCUGGUUGGUGAGGUAACGGCUCACCAAGGCAACGAUGGAUAGGGGAACUGAGAGGUUUAUCCCCCACACUGGUACUGAGACACGGACCAGACUCCUACGGGAGGCAGCAGUGAGGAAUAUUGGUCAAUGGACGCAAGUCUGAACCAGCCACGUCGCGUGAAGGAAGACGGCCCUACGGGUUGUAAACUUCUUUUAUACGGGAAUAAAGUGCCCCACGUGUGGGGUUUUGCAUGUACCGUAUGAAUAAGGAUCGGCUAACUCCGUGCCAGCAGCCG
rnacentral:rRNA from 1 species